rnacentral:rRNA from 1 species
GUGGGGAAUAUUGGACAAUGGGCGAAAGCCUGAUCCAGCCAUGCCGCGUGUGUGAAGAAGGUCUUCGGAUUGUAAAGCACUUUAAGUUGGGAGGAAGGGCAGUAAGUUAAUACCUUGCUGUUUUGACGUUACCGACAGAAUAAGCACCGGCUAACUUCGUGCCAGCAGCCGCGGUAAUACGAAGGGUGCAAGCGUUAAUCGGAAUUACUGGGCGUAAAGCGCGCGUAGGUGGUUUUGUAAGUUGGAGGUGAAAUCCCCGGGCUCAACCUGGGAACUGCCUACAAAACUGCAUGACUAGAGUACGGUAGAGGGUAGUGGAAUUUCCUGUGUAGCGGUGAAAUGCGUAGAUAUAGGAAGGAACACCAGUGGCGAAGGCGACUACCUGGACUGAUACUGACACUGAGGUGCGAAAGCAUGGGGAGCAAACAGGAUUAGAUACCCUAGUAGUCC